rnacentral:rRNA from 1 species
UGGGGAAUAUUGCACAAUGGGCGAAAGCCUGAUGCAGCGACGCCGCGUGAGGGAUGACGGCCUUCGGGUUGUAAACCUCUUUCAGCAGGGAAGAAGCGAAAGUGACGGUACCUGCAGAAGAAGCGCCGGCUAACUACGUGCCAGCAGCCGCGGUAAUACGUAGGGCGCAAGCGUUGUCCGGAAUUAUUGGGCGUAAAGAGCUCGUAGGCGGUUAGUCGCGUCUGCUGUGAAAACUCGAGGCUCAACCUCGGGCUUGCAGUGGGUACGGGCUGACUAGAGUGCGGUAGGGGUGACUGGAAUUCCUGGUGUAGGGGUGGAAUGCGCAGAUAUCAGGAGGAACACCGAUGGCGAAGGCAGGUCACUGGGCCGCAACUGACGCUGAGGAGCGAAAGCAUGGGGAGCGAACAGGAUUAGAUACCCUGGUAGUCCAUGCCGU